rnacentral:rRNA from 1 species
UUAAGUUAUUAAGGGCGCACGGUGGAUGCCUUGGCACUAGAAGCCAAUGAAGGACGUUACUAACGACGAUAUGCUUUGGGGAGCUGUAAGUAAGCUUUGAUCCAGAGAUUUCCGAAUGGGGAAACCCAGCAUGAGUUAUGUCAUGUUAUCGAUAUGUGAAUACAUAGCAUAUCAGAAGGCACACCCGGAGAACUGAAACAUCUUAGUACCCGGAGGAAGAGAAAGAAAAUUCGAUUCCCUUAGUAGCGGCGAGCGAAACGGGAAGAGCCCAAACCAACAAGCUUGCUUGUUGGGGUUGUAGGACACUCUAUACGGAGUUACAAAGGACGACAUUAGACGAAUCAUCUGGAAAGAUGAAUCAAAGAAGGUAAUAAUCCUGUAGUCGAAAAUGUUGUCUCUCUUGAGUGGAUCCUGAGUACGACGGAGCACGUGAAAUUCCGUCGGAAUCUGGGAGGACCAUCUCCUAAGGCUAAAUACUCUCUAGUGACCGAUAGUGAACCAGUACCGUGAGGGAAAGGUGAAAAGCACCCCGGAAGGGGAGUGAAAUAGAACCUGAAACCGUGUGCUUACAAGUAGUCAGAGCCCGUUAAUGGGUGAUGGCGUGCCUUUUGUAGAAUGAACCGGCGAGUUACGAUUUGAUGCAAGGUUAAGCAGUAAAUGUGGAGCCGUAGCGAAAGCGAGUCUGAAUAGGGCGUUUAGUAUUUGGUCGUAGACCCGAAACCAGGUGAUCUACCCUUGGUCAGGUUGAAGUUCAGGUAACACUGAAUGGAGGACCGAACCGACUUACGUUGAAAAGUGAGCGGAUGAACUGAGGGUAGCGGAGAAAUUCCAAUCGAACCUGGAGAUAGCUGGUUCUCUCCGAAAUAGCUUUAGGGCUAGCCUCAAGUGAUGAUUAUUGGAGGUAGAGCACUGUUUGGACGAGGGGCCCCUCUCGGGUUACCGAAUUCAGACAAACUCCGAAUGCCAAUUAAUUUAACUUGGGAGUCAGAACAUGGGUGAUAAGGUCCGUGUUCGAAAGGGAAACAGCCCAGACCACCAGCUAAGGUCCCAAAAUAUAUGUUAAGUGGAAAAGGAUGUGGCGUUGCCCAGACAACUAGGAUGUUGGCUUAGAAGCAGCCAUCAUUUAAAGAGUGCGUAAUAGCUCACUAGUCGAGUGACACUGCGCCGAAAAUGUACCGGGGCUAAACAUAUUACCGAAGCUGUGGAUUGUCCUUUGGACAAUGGUAGGAGAGCGUUCUAAGGGCGUUGAAGCAUGAUCGUAAGGACAUGUGGAGCGCUUAGAAGUGAGAAUGCCGGUGUGAGUAGCGAAAGACGGGUGAGAAUCCCGUCCACCGAUUGACUAAGGUUUCCAGAGGAAGGCUCGUCCGCUCUGGGUUAGUCGGGUCCUAAGCUGAGGCCGACAGGCGUAGGCGAUGGAUAACAGGUUGAUAUUCCUGUACCACCUAUAAUCGUUUUAAUCGAUGGGGGACGCAGUAGGAUAGGCGAAGCGUGCGAUUGGAUUGCACGUCUAAGCAGUAAGGCUGAGUAUUAGGCAAAUCCGGUACUCGUUAAGGCUGAGCUGUGAUGGGGAGAAGACAUUGUGUCUUCGAGUCGUUGAUUUCACACUGCCGAGAAAAGCCUCUAGAUAGAAAAUAGGUGCCCGUACCGCAAACCGACACAGGUAGUCAAGAUGAGAAUUCUAAGGUGAGCGAGCGAACUCUCGUUAAGGAACUCGGCAAAAUGACCCCGUAACUUCGGGAGAAGGGGUGCUCUUUAGGGUUAACGCCCAGAAGAGCCGCAGUGAAUAGGCCCAAGCGACUGUUUAUCAAAAACACAGGUCUCUGCUAAACCGUAAGGUGAUGUAUAGGGGCUGACGCCUGCCCGGUGCUGGAAGGUUAAGAGGAGUGGUUAGCUUCUGCGAAGCUACGAAUCGAAGCCCCAGUAAACGGCGGCCGUAACUAUAACGGUCCUAAGGUAGCGAAAUUCCUUGUCGGGUAAGUUCCGACCCGCACGAAAGGCGUAACGAUUUGGGCACUGUCUCAACGAGAGACUCGGUGAAAUCAUAGUACCUGUGAAGAUGCAGGUUACCCGCGACAGGACGGAAAGACCCCGUGGAGCUUUACUGUAGCCUGAUAUUGAAAUUCGGCACAGCUUGUACAGGAUAGGUAGGAGCCUUUGAAACGUGAGCGCUAGCUUACGUGGAGGCGCUGGUGGGAUACUACCCUAGCUGUGUUGGCUUUCUAACCCGCACCACUUAUCGUGGUGGGAGACAGUGUCAGGCGGGCAGUUUGACUGGGGCGGUCGCCUCCUAAAAGGUAACGGAGGCGCUCAAAGGUUCCCUCAGAAUGGUUGGAAAUCAUUCAUAGAGUGUAAAGGCAUAAGGGAGCUUGACUGCGAGACCUACAAGUCGAGCAGGGUCGAAAGACGGACUUAGUGAUCCGGUGGUUCCGCAUGGAAGGGCCAUCGCUCAACGGAUAAAAGCUACCCCGGGGAUAACAGGCUUAUCUCCCCCAAGAGUUCACAUCGACGGGGAGGUUUGGCACCUCGAUGUCGGCUCAUCGCAUCCUGGGGCUGUAGUCGGUCCCAAGGGUUGGGCUGUUCGCCCAUUAAAGCGGUACGCGAGCUGGGUUCAGAACGUCGUGAGACAGUUCGGUCCCUAUCCGUCGUGGGCGUAGGAAAUUUGAGAGGAGCUGUCCUUAGUACGAGAGGACCGGGAUGGACAUACCUCUGGUGUACCAGUUGUCGUGCCAACGGCAUAGCUGGGUAGCUAUGUGUGGACGGGAUAAGUGCUGAAAGCAUCUAAGCAUGAAGCCCCCCUCAAGAUGAGAUUUCCCAACUUCGGUUAUAAGAUCCCUCAAAGAUGAUGAGGUUAAUAGGUUCGAGGUGGAAGCAUGGUGACAUGUGGAGCUGACGAAUACUAAUCGAUCGAAGACUUAAUCAA